UCUCCUUCUCCCCUGCCAUCUCCAACUACUUGAGGUGUGAGAGAGAGAGAGUGUGUGAGUGAGUUCUGGCCAGGCUUCGAGUUUUGUCUCUCCUCCUUCUCUUUCUUCAAUCACGUUCUGAGUUGCAGAGAGGGUUGAGAUCAAAACUCUGGACUUUUUCGUCACGUGUUAUCUGACUCCAUCUCUCUCUGUUAUCCUACCCUUACCACCGGCGAAAUGGGAGCUCGUUACUCCCGAACGAAGCCAGGUCCUCAGUUGUGCUUCCUGUCUCUGUUUUUCUCGUCUGCUGCUGUCUUCGUUCACGUCACGGAUGGGCGAGAGAAAUCAAUCCGUUGGUAAUGCUGGUGCUGAUCGUGAGAUUUUCCUGCUUGAUCUGGAGCUUGACAAAGUCGCAGAUCCUUUUUAUUUCCCAUAAAGCAUCACUGUUGGACGUUUGCUUCCCCUGUUCAGCGUCCAAGUUUCCUCUUCUUCUCUUUUGUGAUGAUGGUGAUUUAAGAUAUGUCAGCCGAGGUUAUGUCUUCCGUAAAUCCUAAAAGGGCUGUAAUAUUCAGUUGAGAGGAAAAGCUGAAAUCAAACUUCUUUAAAGUAAAUUUCUUAUGUCAGGUGCUCCACAUAAGCUAUAGUUAGGGUCCUCAUCCUUAUGAUUCACACUUUGUUAUUUGCUGAUUGGAAAAGAGUUCCUUGCUGCUACUUUUGUUUUGUAAAAUAUUUGUAAAUUUGUUUUUGAGAGAUUUAUUUU